UCUAGGUUCAGUUCUCAACCUAUGUUCUUUAACACUAGGUUAGAUGCCACACACCUAGAUCCCGACUCUAGGUUCAUACUCAACCUAUGUUCUUUAACACUAGGUUAGAUGCCACUCGUUAUUUAUCCUAGGUUCAACAACACUAGGUUCAAUGUCAUCUAGGUUCGACCUAUGUUUAUUAACACUAGGUUAAUGCCACUCGAUCUACUUGAUAUCCUAUUUGUCAUAACGAGUACUAUAGAUAUCCACAUUUCAUCUCGCAUACAUUCUAUGAUGCCAAUAUGCAUUUACUAUCUAGCAUGAACUCAUAAUGCUAAGUGCAACUAGCAUAUAUUCCAAU
rnacentral:lncRNA from 1 species